rnacentral:misc_RNA from 1 species
GAAAUGCGAUAAGUAGUGUGAAUUGCAGAAUUCAGUGAAUCAUCGAAUCUUUGAACGCACAUUGCGCCCCUUGGUAUUCCAUGGGGCAUGCCUGUUCGAGCGUCAUCUACACCCUCAAGCUCUGCUUGGUGUUGGGCGUCUUUGUCCCGCCUCCGCGCGUGGACUCGCCCCAAAUUCAUUGGCAGCGGUCCUUGCCUCCUCUCGCGCAGCACAUUGCGCUUCUCGAGGUGUUGCGGCCCGCGUCCAGAAAGCAAUCGUUACCGUCUUUGACCUCGGAUCAGGUAGGGAUACCCGCUGAACUUAAGC